UCUCCUCUAAGUAAUUAAGUACAUACACUACAUUACCAAAAGUAUGUGGCUUGUCCAACAUCUCAUUCCAAAAUCAUGGGCAUUAAUAUGGAGUAGGUCACUGAUGUUGGGCGAUUAGGUCUGGCUCACAGUCGAUUAGGUCUGGCUCACACUCAAUUCAUCCCAAAUGUGUUGGAUGGGGUUGAGGUCAGGGCUCUGUUCAGGCCAGUCAAGUUCUUCCACACAGAUGCUAACAAAUCAUUUCUGUAUGGACCUCAUUUGUGCACGGGGGCAUUAACAUGCUGAAACAGGCAGUUUGGAACUCAGUAGAGAGUUUUGAAACCAAGGACAAAGAGCUUCAACACUCAGUCCCGUUCUGUGAGUUUGUGUGGCCAACCACUUCACAGUGAAGCCGUUGAUGCUCCUAGAGGUUUGUGUGGCCAACCACUUCACAGUGAAGCCGUUGAUGCUCCUAGAGGUUUGUGUGGCCAACCACUUCUCAGUUAAGCAGUUGAUGCUCCUAGAGGAUUGUGUGGCCACUUCACAGUGAAGCCGUUGAUGCUCCUAGAGGAUUGUGUGGCCACUUCACAGUGAAGCCGUUGAUGCUCCUAGAGGUUUGUGUGGCCACUUCACAGUGAAGCAGUUGAUGCUCCUAGAGGUUUGUGUGGCCACUUCACAGUGAAGCCGUUGAUGCUCCUAGAGGUUUGUGUGGCCACUUCACAGUGAAGCCGUUGAUGCUCCUAGAGGUUUGUGUGGCCACUUCACAGUGAAGCCGUUGAUGCUCCUAGAGGUUUGUGUGGCCACUUCACAGUGAAGCAGUUGAUGCUCCUAGAGGUUUGUGUGGCCACUUCACAGUGAAGCCGUUGAUGCUCCUAGAGGUUUGUGUGGCCACUUCACAGUGAAGCCGUUGAUGCUCCUAGAGGUUUGUGUGGCCACUUCACAGUUAAGCCGUUGAUGCUCCUAGAGGAUUGUGGGAAAAGUAUUCAGAUCCCUUUUGCCUUUUUUCCACAGUUUGUUACGUUACAGCCUUAUUUUAAAAUGGAUUCAAUUGUUGUUUUUCCCUCAUCAAUCUACCAGUGGUAGAAAAAGUACCAACUUUUCAUACUUGAGUAAAAGUAAAGAUACCUUAAUAGAAAAUGACUCAAUUAAAAGUCAGCCAGUAAAAUACUACUUGAGUAAAACUCUAAAAGUAUUUGUUUUUAAAUAUACUAAUUUUAAAUUCCCUAUAUUAAUCAAAUCGAAAUGUAUUCGUCACAUGCAGAAAUGGUUGUUCUUCUGGAAGGUUCUCCCAUCUCCACAGAGGAACUCUGGAGCUCUGUCAGAGUGACCAUCGGGUUCUUGGUCACCUCCCUGACCAAGGCCCUUCUCACUGGAUUGCUCAGUUUGGCCGAGUGGCCAGCUCUAGGAAGAGUCUUGGUGGUUCAGAACUUCUUCCAUUUAAGAAUGAUGGAGGCCACUGUGUUUUUGUACACCUUUAAAUGCUGCAGAAAUGUUUUGGUAGGUCCUUCUGUAGCUCAGUUGGUAGAGCAUGGCGCUUGUAACGCCAGGGUAGUGGGUUCAAUUCCCGGGACCACCCAUACGUAGAAUGUAUGCACACAUGACUGUAAGUCGCUUUGGAUAAAAGCGUCUGCUAAAUGGCAUAUAUUAUUAUUAUUAUAUAUUGGUACCCUUCCCCAGAUCUGUGCCUCGA